rnacentral:tRNA from 1 species
GGAAGUAGCUCAAUGGUAGAGCCCUCGCUUCAUAUGCGGGAGGAUCCGGGCUUGAUUCCCGGCUGUUUCCC